rnacentral:rRNA from 1 species
UACGAAGGGUGCAAACGUUGCUCGGAAUUAUUGGGCGUAAAGCGCACGUAGGCGGCUUGGCAAGUCGGAUGUGAAAUCCCUCGGCUCAACCAAGGAAGUGCAUCCGAAACUGCUGAGCUUGAGUGCGGCAGAGGAGACUGGAAUUCCUGGUGUAGCAGUGAAAUGCGUAGAUAUCAGGAGGAACACCGAUGGCGAAGGCAGGUCUCUGGGCUGACACUGACGCUCAUGCACGAAAGCGUGGGGAGCAAACAGG